GACGAACGCUGGCGGCGUGCUUAACACAUGCAAGUCGAACGGAAAGGCCCUGCUUUUGUGGGGUGCUCGAGUGGCGAACGGGUGAGUAAUACGUGAGUAACCUGCCCUUGACUUUGGGAUAACUUCAGGAAACUGGGGCUAAUACCGGAUAGGAGCUCCUGCUGCAUGGUGGGGGUUGGAAAGUUUCGACGGUUGGGGAUGGACUCGCGGCUUAUCAGCUUGUUGGUGGGGUAGUGGCUUACCAAGGCUUUGACGGGUAGCCGGCCUGAGAGGGUGACCGGCCACAUUGGGACUGAGAUACGGCCCAGACUCCUACGGGAGGCAGCAGUGGGGAAUAUUGCACAAUGGGCGGAAGCCUGAUGCAGCAACGCCGCGUGCGGGAUGACGGCCUUCGGGUUGUAAACCGCUUUCGCCUGUGACGAAGCGUGAGUGACGGUAAUGGGUAAAGAAGCACCGGCUAACUACGUG
rnacentral:rRNA from 1 species